AGGCACUACGGUAUCUCUCUCGUAAACCAUCGCAUGACAGUUGGAACUUGCAAGAGUCGAUUGAUAAAUUUGGAUACUUAUGUUUUCAGUUAUCAAUUGGUUGUUACACACACAGAUUCAGGUGAUGACAUUUUGGGUAAAAUACAAGGUGACCAGCAUUGGUGUCAUAUUGUAUAUUUUACAGAGUCAUGUUUCUGCUGAUAUCUCCAAUCCAAAUAUAACUGGAAAUGCAACAUGUUAUAGAGAAAUGGAAUUGUAUGCGGAUGGUGUUCGAUAUGUACAUGCUAAUGAUAACAGAUGGGGUGGUGUGUCACCCAUCAACAUACCUG